GUGGUUCCAGGUGGCGAAUGUGAAUGAACAUCUGUUAAUUUAGAAGUUAUCUAUUUUAAGGUGACUUGAAACACACUGUUUAUUUGCUUAUUGCAUGAUGUGGAGUUUGCUUUAAAAUUAAUUUGUAUAUUCUUCGUUGUGGGUCCUUCUAGUUGUGGCAUGUGGGACGCUGCCUCAGUGUGGUUUGAUGAGCAGUGCCAUGUCCGCGCCCAGGAUUGGAAACACUGGGCCGCCUGUGGCGGAGCGCGCAAACUUAACCGCUUGGCCGUGGCGCCAGCCCCGAUGCUUUCUUUUCUCUCUUGCCUGUUUUGCUCAGCAUCAUUUCUGGAGUUUGUCCACGUGGAGCUGGAAUCUGUCCCCUGUGUGGCUAUACAGUGUUCCAUCGUAGGGCUAGCCCAAGCUGGUCCACCCAUUUGGCUGUUGACGGGCAUUUGGGUUGUUUCCCA
rnacentral:lncRNA from 1 species